AGACACUUAACCCCUAGUUGCUCCAGAGGUGUGCAACCUCUGACAUAUAUAUAGCAAUUUUAAGUCGCUUUGGAUAAAAAAAAAAUAAUAAAUGUAAUUAAUUUCCAUGACUUUAACAGUCUUAGAAAUCAAGCUUUUAAAAUUCUUUCAAGAAAUGUUUACAAAUACAUAGAAUAAAAUAUUAAAUAUGAUGUCAGUUUAUGACUUGUUAUUUAGCUUUUUUUUUUUACCCUAUUAAAGCAUAUUUUGUUUUAUUGUUAAUAGGCCCUGGCCCUCUGGUUGAGAAGCAAGCAGUUUUCUUUUCUGAGUUCGCCGAGGAGGUCUAUAUUUCCUGAAGAAAACUUGUUAGUAUUAGCAUUUAUCUCAAUGACAGCUGAACACAGUACACUUCGAAAGCUAUGCCAUUUAAAAUCUUUACUAAUGGAUGUUCGGUUUGAAGUUUCUGAUCCAAUCACUUAAGCUGUAAAUGUCAUGUGACUCAUUAUCUGGGAGCUGAAGAUGUCAUGACAACGCUGAUUGGCUGAUUGCACCAAAAGCAUUACAUAAUCCCUGCUAAUUGCUUAUUUGGACUAGCUAAAACAUAUUACACUGAAACAAACAUUCAGAACAAAUAAAACAAACCAGCCAAGAGAGGUAUUGAAGGUUUUAAUGUCAGUGUCUUCAUGUUUCAUAAGAGAUGCAGUAAUGAUUUCCUCUCACUCUCCUCCUGUCACGUAUUGCUAUGCAGAGCAUUUGGUUGCCUUGCUCAUCUUCACCGUCACCUCGGCCCAGAUAAACCAGCGGCUGAUCGAUUGAUCUCCGGGGGGGUCAGAGGAGGCUAUCUGCCUUCUUUAGCCAAUCGCUCUCUGGAGACGAGAGGAAUACACUCUCAACUUUGAUCAUCCCAUCACAGCACUUCUGCACGGUGACUCCUGCAAGAUUAGAUACCCCUUCCAUUUGCAUAAUUUAGUCAAACUAUUUGCAGAGCGAUCUUGUGGCAUAUGCUUCUAACAUACAGGCCCCCUAUCUGGCCCUGCUCCGAACCGCUCGCGUGCCUCUCUGAUGAAUGGGCUUUCAAAGCCGCGUGUUUAAAUUACCCCUCAAGAUGAGUUGUGCCGGCACGCUGGACACCGCGGAACUGAUAAAGAAGAUCGUCUGGCCCAUUACGUCAGGCCCAAAACACAAAGCCUUAAUCCCUAAUCUCAACAGUCUUUAAUCAGAGUCAGUUUCACGUCCAUGGCGCUGGUGUAUCGAUACUCAAGCUCAUGUGUGGUCAUGAAGAUCCUGUGUGACUGAGAUAGCAAAGGCCUUGAUUUCUAGGUUAUCCGAAAGCUGGAGGUUUUUAUCGUUUCUUUGAGGGAUUGAUUUAAAAUGUAUCCGCAGUUGACCAAGAAUUAGUGUCAAAGCAUUAAACGUUGACUGCCGAGGUUUUUGUCUUCAUGUAAGAGAGAUAUCUUGACUCUGCUCCAUAAAACGAUCUCGCCUGGGUCAUAUCCUGUGGUGAUUCGUUAGUUCAAGACAGACAUGCGGAGUAAAAGCGAAGAAGCAUGAAAUCCCAGGAUUCAUCACAGUGUCCGUCACUUUUUCUGUCUGUGUGUGUGAGUCGAGAGACGUUCCAUCACUGUUAGUCUAGACUGGAGUGUUUUGCAUUCUCAGCUCUAAUUCAAACCUGUGGUGUCUGCUGUUGGGAUCACAUCUGACACUCCUGCAACACGCCAGAUAACAAGAAUGUGAAAUCUUCGAUUCAGGGGUCAAAAAUGCAUCAUUUAAGACCUAAAUCUUUUGGUAAGAUCGUAAAAUCAACAAUGAGCAGUCGAAUUACAAGCCAUUGGGAUUCACUGAUGAAGAAAAGCAAACAUUUAUUUCUCAUUGCAUCUGUCAGAUAAGGGCAAAGUUCCAUAAUUUGUGGGUUAAUAAGGAAACUAACAGAAAGGUUGCUCUGUGGCAUUCUUUACAUGUGUAACCACAUAAAUGGGGCACUUCUGGCUCAAGUGCGAGCCGUGCCUAUGCACAGUAAACCUAUGAACCUGCUAUCAGCUGCACAUUCCUGUCAGUAGUAACGGAGAGAUGAGUACAAUCACUAUGGCUGCACAAGAAUGAAAAACAAGCUUGUUCAGCUAUGUAGAAAUUCACUUUUGAAGGUCAAACAUUUUUUUCUUUCUUCCUUUUCUUUCUGUCGUUUUUUUUUUUAAUUAGACAGAGAAGAAAAAUGUCUCUGAAUGUUUUGAAGAAGUGCUAUUAGAGGGUCCCUAGUGGUCUCGCCUGAAGAAAUUCUGUGAAAAUCAUUUCAAGCCUCUUCCUGGGACUAAUAGAAGAACUUCCAAGCAGUCUGUAGGGACCAUUCAUAGACGUCAUUUUCACUUUUGUUUGUGAAAUGUUAUAUACAACUGUUUAUUUGAACCUUUUUUUUUUAGCUACUGCAACUCUUACUGAGUGAGAGUUUAGGACCAGCUGAUUUGUUUUAAAAGUUUAGUAUUCUACUACACCUAAAAAGAAAACUAAACCAAACCAAACAAAAACAAUCUGGCACGGUUUACAUGUAUGCCUAACACUAGUUUCCUGUCGCAGAAGUGCACAGACUGCUUGGAUUUUGCCAAAAAAAUGUAUAUGUUCACAUGCCGUACCAUUCAAAAGUUGUUUUUAUGUUUUAUGCCCACCAAAGCUGAAUUUCUUUGAUCAAAAAUGCAGUAAAAAUUGUUGUAAAAAUAUUGUCACUUUAGAUCAAUUUAAUGUCAUUGGUUUAUAAAAGCAUUAUUAAUUUUUUUCAUAAAUAUUUGAAUGGUAGUAUGUAUUUUCAUUCAUUUCUUAAAAAAAAUAAAGCAUAUGAUGUGUUCUGAAAUGUUUUCAAUGGAAAAACUCCUGUUACAUAAAAUGCACUGUCCAUGACGAUAUGUAAGAAAGAGCUUGCUAUCACUUCUGAUCUCAGCUUCAUUUAUCCCAAACUGAAGAGAAAGUAUUUGCUUGCUCAACUAAGUGCUCUGAGAGCAAUUGUGCUCCUAAGGUAGAGGUUAAAAGAACUGAACUUGUGCCAGGGCUGCUAACAUAUGCUGGCAAUCUGAGCCCUACUCUAUUAGAGUGACAUUCUGAACAAGGUUAGAUUCAAACAAACAUUUAAUGGAGCAAACUUGGCCGGUGUGAACAUACCAAUAUAGGUUUCAUUUAUAUCAGAGAAACGACAAGCCUACAGUGAGAAAUAGUGCCAAACAAUUGGAAAGUCUUUAUUAACAUAUAAACUUCUCGAGCGCUACACGUGCUCGCAGAUCUGGAGUCUGGAAACCAUUUCUGGCCUCUAUCUUCAGAUAACAAUGUAAGUACUACCCUUCUGACACUUCCCAGAGAGCAGGUUUCCCCCGAACCACACAAAGCCUCCAUUCACAGCUGGAAUGAAAAUACAGAUUCUGAGCAGAUGCCAUCACCACCGGUUAGAGGACUAAAGAGCGCUCGCUGUCGUCUGGUUUGGUAAGGAAAAUCCCUGAAGACUGUCUCAAUGCUGAUUGGCAUAUUUGUAAGGCCGGUUGCAUGAUAAUUGCUCAAGUCUGAUUGAUUUCAACGGAUUAUUUUGGAUACGGCAUGCCCGUCUUCAUGGUAAUUUUGAAAUGGGGAGUUUAGAUUUCCAAGAGAGGGAAACUCACAUCUCCUCAUUGAUAUUGCAGAAAUGCAUCCAUUGACACUCAUAGCAACCACUAGUGGCCCAUGGUCAGGAUUUGUCCCGUAUUAGUGAUGUCACACAGACAGUUGCCCGCUGUCCGAGGCCAAGGUAAACAGUGAGUAACCAAAGGUGAACAUGUCACUGGUGGACAACAAACCCCAGCUCAAUUGGAGAACCCCUGAUGGAUUGCCCAUAAUGCACUGCAUCUGGGAGCAA
rnacentral:lncRNA from 1 species